rnacentral:rRNA from 1 species
UGGGGAAUAUUGCACAAUGGGCGAAAGCCUGAUGCAGCGAAGCCGCGUGAGGGAUGAAGGCCUUCGGGUUGUAAACCUCUUUCAGCAGGGAAGAAGCGCAAGUGACGGUACCUGCAGAAGAAGCGCCGGCUAACUACGUGCCAGCAGCCGCGGUAAUACGUAGGGCGCAAGCGUUGUCCGGAAUUAUUGGGCGUAAAGAGCUCGUAGGCGGUUUGUCGCGUCUGGUGUGAAAACUCGAGGCUCAACCUCGAGCUUGCAUCGGGUACGGGCAGACUAGAGUGCGGUAGGGGAGACUGGAAUUCCUGGUGUAGCGGUGGAAUGCGCAGAUAUCAGGAGGAACACCGAUGGCGAAGGCAGGUCUCUGGGCCGCAACUGACGCUGAGGAGCGAAAGCAUGGGGAGCGAACA